rnacentral:rRNA from 1 species
GAUGAACGCUGGCGGCGUGCUUAACACAUGCAAGUCGAACGGAAAGGCCCAAGCUUGCUUGGGUACUCGAGUGGCGAACGGGUGAGUAACACGUGGGUGAUCUGCCCUGCACUUCGGGAUAAGCCUGGGAAACUGGGUCUAAUACCGGAUAGGACGAUGGUUUGGAUGCCAUUGUGGACAGUUUUUUCGGUGUGGGAUGAGCUCGCGGCCUAUCAGCUUGUUGGUGGGGUAAUGGCCUACCAAGGCGUCGACGGGUAGCCGGCCUGAGAGGGUGUACGGCCACAUUGGGACUGAGAUACAGCCCAGACUCCGACGGGAGGCAGCAGUGGGGAAUAUUGCACAAUGGGCGCAAGCCUGAUGCAGCGAGGCCGCGUGGGGGAUGACGGCCUUCGGGUUGUAAACUCCUUUCGCUAGGGACGAAGCGUUUUUGUGACGGUACCUGGAGAAGAAGCACCGGCUAACUACGUG